ensembl:snRNA U4 U4 spliceosomal RNA
AACUUUGCGCAGUGGCAGUAUCAUAACCAAUGAAGUUAAUCUGAGGUGUGAUUUUUGCUGCUUUUCUCUGAUCUCUGCCAGUCUGUCUUCUUGUUUCUGAUUACAGAGUACCCAAACAGAGUGGGUAUAAAGCUGUAUAAAGAG